ACUACGAAGUGACUGCAGCCCCUAUUCCCCUAUACUGCUCACAAAGAGGAAAUAGACAAGCGUGAAUGGGGUCAAAGUGUGAUUAUAGUUUGCUAUUAUCUUCUUACUACUCUAGUUUAAUAUUAAUAAGCAAUAGAUCAUAUUAAUCUCCCUACGCCAGUCUGUUUUGCUCAUUAUGGCAACUAGCGAGCAGUCUCCCUGUCCUUAUUUCAACUCGUGAGCUCUUUUUCAUUGUAUUUUCUUCCCUUUAUCUUUUGAGGAAGCGGAAGGAGAGAGGAGUUUGGUGGAGUCGAGCUGCCUAUCAGCAUGAAACCACCACACAGCUCAGAGUACCAGAAUGAGAAAAGAGGAAACAAGAAACAACAAGGUGUGAAAUGUCACUGUGUGCCAGCAUCACCUGCCAAUGACGUUUUCAGCAGGAAAAACUGGAAGAGGACCUCAUCUCCCUAAGAAGAAAUGACCAUCUUUCCCAAAGUGGAGGAACCAAACCAUGGGGAUCCUAAAAGAUUUGUCCAAGGGAUGAACAAGCAAGAAAUCCUCACCUACCCAGCCACCAGACAUUCACGUUGUCCUGUAAAUUUCCACCUAGAUGAACUGCUGCUUCACACAAGUAUAGUAUACAUGCAUAUGUACAUAAAUAUGUUUCACAAAGUGAGAAGAAAAGAAAGAACAGAGAGUUACCUCUUUUUGCAGAGCCUGCACAGGUGGAGGGAGGAGCAGGUGGCUGACUGAAGUGUUUGCUUCAGUACAGCCCCUCUAUCUCACUGGAGCCCACUUCUCUGUCCCCGUUUGGCUCCCAGAAGAGAUCCGUGUCUGACGGAGGACACUUGGGGCAGGUGAGCACACCCCAGUCCACUCCCUGGAACUCAGCCUCCCGCUGUGUUCUGACACGGGCUCACUGGCCGGAUAUUCCCUCCAGCCUGAAGGACCAAUGCUGGAGGAGACUGGCUCCCGAGCUGUUCCUGACAUGCACUGGCAGCUGUCUGCCUGUCGUUCUUUUAAAGAGUCUUCAUGGAUCAGGAUAAAAAUGUGAUCUUACGCAGGCGGCAUUGUAAGCACAACUUGGCUCAAGUUCAGCUCUUCCUCUGGCUCCCAGCUACUCUAUUUUUAAUGAAGGAAUUUGAGGCUAUCAGAAAGGAAGUCAAAUUGUUUUAGGAAAACAAUAGAAAAGCAACUUAAAGUUUAUUAGCUUCCUGCCCAGGGCCUGGGACCAACUUGUCAAACUUAUUAGAGUGAUGGCAGAGCUAUUUGUUGAAAAGGGCCAGCGACAAGACUCACAAUUUCAUUCCUAUUUAGACCUUGGUGAAAACAAAGGAAAGCCAUAAAAUAAUAUCUGAAGGGAGCAGAUGGCUAACUGCUAAGUGGUGCAAGCAAAGCUGGCCUCUGAGCCAUUCAUGGUGUUGACCAGUGCAGUGGCUUUAGUUGGAUUUUGUUAUCAGGUGAGUGCCCAGGCCUGCAUUCACAUUUCAGCCCCAUCACCCCAAAUUACUUGUGUUCCAAUUUUCAAAUCAAAAUCUCCCACUAAGGUUAUUGAUAUGGCAGGAAAAGGUCGUCAGUAGAGCUACCGAAAA